rnacentral:rRNA from 1 species
CCCUAUGGGGUGCAGCAGGCGAGAAAACUUUGCAAUGUGCGAAAGCACGACAAGGUUAAUCCAAGUGAUUUCUGCUAAAGAAAUCUUUUGUUAGUUUUAAAAACACUGAUGAAUAAGGGGUGGGCAAGUUCUGGUGUCAGCCGCCGCGGUAAAACCAGCACCUCAAGUGGUCAGGAUGAUUAUUGGGCCUAAAGCAUCCGUAGCCGGUUGUGUAAGUUUUCGGUUAAAUCCAUGUGCUUAACAUAUGGGCAGCUGGAAAUACUAUACGACUAGGAAGUGGGAGAGGUAGACGGUACUCGAUAGGAAGGGGUAAAAUCCUUUGAUCUAUUGAUGACCACCAGUGGCGAAGGCGGUCUACCAGAACACGUUCGACGGUGAGGGAUGAAAGCUGGGGGAGCAAACCGGAUUAGAUACCCGGGUAGUCCCAGCUGUAAACAAUGCAAACUCAGUGAUGCGUUGGCUUAUAGCUAACGCAGUGCUGCAGGGAAGCCGUUAAGUUUGCCGCCUGGGAAGUACGUACGCAAGUAUGAAACUUAAAGGAAUUGGCGGGGGAGCACCACAAGGGGUGAAGCCUGCGGUUCAAUUGGAGUCAACGCCAGAAAUCUUACCCGGAGAGACAGCAGAAUGAAGGUCAAGCUGAAGACUUUACCAGACAAGCUGAGAAGAAGUGCAUGGCC